CACCAGCACCCCGAGUGGUCGGGACGUUUAUUGGGCCUAAAGCAUCCGUAGCCGGUUCUACAAGUCUUCCGUUAAAUCCACCUACUUAACAGAUGGGCUGCGGAAGAUACUAUGGAGCUAGGAGGCGGGAGAGGCAAGCGGUACUCGAUGGGUAGGGGUAAAAUCCGUUGAUCCAUUGAAGACCACCAGUGGCGAAGGCGGCUUGCCAGAACGCGCUCGACGGUGAGGGAUGAAAGCUGGGGGAGCAAACCGG
rnacentral:rRNA from 1 species